rnacentral:lncRNA from 1 species
AUGGCUGUAGGAACCAGAGAACCUGUGUGCUGCAAUUCCCAGUUUUCUCACCUCUGUCCUUCAGCCAUCCGAUUCCAGCACUGUGCACAACACACAAUACUGGCAAGACUCUGGUCUGGAAAUCCAUCAGACUCAAGCCUGCUAGAGGUGUUUGAGAGCUGCCUGGUGCUGUGAUGUGUUGGUUUGGAAUUCCCGGGAGCACCUGAAGAAGGAAGGUGUUUAGAAGAAAAAUAGUGGUUAGUCCUUAAAGCAGAACUUCCCUCUCUUAAACAGCUGCUACUGGAGUAUUCAAACCAUGGGCAGAUGGAGGAGUGGGCAGCUGUGUGUUACAAUCCAGAGUACUCACCUCUGCAGAUGACAAUGGUUGCUUGCUGUAAGGAAGUCAGUAAUGCAUUUUAAGUGGCUUUUAGUGGAAGCUUUCUUGGUUUGUAUCUGCCGCUAUUAAAAAAGAACUUUGUUCAUGAUAGUCCUCUUGGUGUUGCCUUUUUAACCCACAAGUGUGCUUCACUAUUUUGUAGGGCU